GCCCAGGUGGCGGAAUGGUAGACGCGGCAGACUUAAAAUCUGCUUCCCGCAAGGGAGUGGGGGUUCGAGUCCCUUCCUGGGCA
rnacentral:tRNA from 3 species